rnacentral:rRNA from 1 species
AUUGAACGCUGGCGGCAGGCCUAACACAUGCAAGUCGAACGAGUGGCGGACGGGUGAGUAAUGUCUGGGCAACUGCCUGAUGGAGGGGGAUAACUACUGGAAAAGGUAGCUAAUACCGCAUAACACCAGAUGUGCCCAGAUGGGUUUAGCUAGUGGGUGGGGUAACGGCUCACCAAGGCGACGAUCCCUAGCUGGUCUGAGAGGAUGACCAGCCACACUGGAACUGAGACACGGUCCAGACGCCUACGGGAGGCAGCAGUGGGGAAUAUUGCGCAAUGGGCGAAAGCCUGAUGCAGCCAUGCCGCGUGAAUGAAGAAGGUCUUCGGGUUGUAAAGUUCUUUCAGCGGGGAGGCGUUACCCGCAGAAGAAGCACCGGCUAACUCCGUGCCAGCAGCCGCGGUAAUUC